GAUGAACGCUGGCGGCGUGCCUAAUACAUGCAAGUCGAGCGAACAGACGAGGAGCUUGCUCCCCUGACGUUAGCGGCGGACGGGUGAGUAACACGUGGAUAACCUACCUAUAAGACUGGGAUAACUUCGGGAAACCGGAGCUAAUACCGGAUAAUAUAUUGAACCGCAUGGUUCAAUAGUGAAAGACGGUUUUGCUGUCACUUAUAGAUGGAUCCGCGCCGCAUUAGCUAGUUGGUAAGGUAACGGCUUACCAAGGCAACGAUGCGUAGCCGACCUGAGAGGGUGAUCGGCCACACUGGAACUGAGACACGGUCCAGACUCCUACGGGAGGCAGCAGUAGGGAAUCUUCCGCAAUGGGCGAAAGCCUGACGGAGCGACGCCGCGUGAGUGAUGAAGGUCUUCGGAUCGUAAAACUCUGUUAUUAGGGAAGAACAAAUGUGUAAGUAACUAUGCACGUCUUGACGGUACCUAAUCAGAAAGCCACGGCUAACUACGUG
rnacentral:rRNA from 1 species